GUUUCAAAUUAAGCAAGAUUACUGUCAUAUGAAUAAAAGAAAUAAAUUUUUAUUUUUCAAUUUUAAAAUAUGAAAAGAAUUAAUGCACUUCUGAUAAUUUUAUUAAGUGCACAAUGUUUUGCUUUGGAUAACUAUUCAGGGAAGAAUGAAAUCAAAAGAAUUGUAAAAAGGCAAGUAAAUCAAGAAGUUUCUAAAAGCGCUCAAUAUAAAACAUGUACCGUCCCUAAUGGCUCAAAAGGAUUUUGUGUUCCAAAUAACAUUUGCAAUUUGCCGCCAAUUAAAGAUGAUAUAUGGAAAGCUGUAGGGUACUUUUGUGUAUUAGAUAAUGAUUCAAUUGGAGUUUGUUGCUCCCGUACUCGUUAUUCAAACUUUACAAGUCCAGAAAUAGCAAAUAGUGUUAAUGUACCAAGAAAUACUGACAAUGAAGGUACAACCCAAUUUAGAUCCGACCAGCGAGGUUGUGGAUUAACAACAAAACAAUUUCCGCGGAUAAUUGGAGGCAGACCAGCGGAACCUGAAGAGUGGCCAUGGAUUGCAGCAAUAAUUCGACGUGGUUUCCCAUAUGUUUUUUGUGGUGGUGCAUUAAUUAGUGAUAAACAUGUACUGACGGCUGCCCAUUGCACUAAUAAAAUUGAAAAAGAGUUAUUUGUUCGAUUAGGAGAGUAUGAUGUUCGACAAAUAAAUGAGACAAGAUCGAGAGAUUUUCGUAUAGCAAAUGUCAAACAGCAUAUUGAUUUUGAUCCAAUUACUUAUGAAAAUGAUAUCGCAAUAAUAGUAUUAGAAAGAUCAACAAUUUUCAAUUCGUAUAUUUGGCCUGUAUGUAUGCCGCCACUGGAAGAGAAUUGGGAAGGUUGGAAUGCAGUUGUUAUUGGUUGGGGAACACAAUAUUUUGGAGGGCCACGUUCAAAUAUUUUGAUGGAAGUUUCAAUUCCAAUAUGGGAACAACAAAAAUGUAAAGAUACCUAUGAAGUAUCAUAUCGUAUUGGUGAAAAUGUUAUCUGUGCUGGAGAUGUAGAACAAGGAAAAGAUUCAUGCCAAGGUGAUUCAGGUGGUCCACUUUUAGUUCAACUACCUAAUCGUCGUUGGAUUGUUGUUGGUUUAGUUUCUUGGGGUUAUCAAUGUGGAGAUAAGAAUUAUCCAGGAAUCUAUACACUUGUAAACAAAUAUAUAUCUUGGAUUCUUGAUAACACAUCCAACUAAAAUAUAUCAUUCAAAUGAAAUUUAAUCCAAUUUAAAACUUCAAAAAUCUUGAAAAUAAAAUGAGGGCAUUCAUCAAACUCAACAUAAAUACUGGAGCUAAAUCCCAUUUUUAAACAAAAUUUGCACAGUUAGUUUUCGUUUUAACUUUUUAUAUACUACUUUAUUGGCUAAAUGUAUUAUAAGUUUGCGUAGAGAUUAUUGCAAUCGAAAUCUAUAGAAACUGAUCAUAUUUUUAUUUGAAUAUUUAAAAAACUUGCCUGUUAAAUUUUUGAUUGAUACAUUUAAUAUAUUGAAAAUUGAUGGAAUAUACCUUACAGACAUUAAGUGGAUCAAUGAAAAAACUCAUAUUUACAUGAUCAAAUUAUUUUUUAUGAAAUAAGAUACUAUGUAUCUACCGAUUUUCUUUUUCAAACCCUUCUUCUGUUUAUAUAGUAAGUAGAUAGACAUACAUUGCGCGUAUUAUAUUAGCACGGAGCCAAUUAAUAGCUAAGAAAAGUGGAUUUCUUAUAAAAUACAUCUUUAUGAAAUUUGAAAGGGUAUGCACAUUCUAGUUCCUCCAUCAACGCCAAAAUAUAAUUUGUUUUAAUUUUUAGCAAAAGAAAUAUAAUCAAUUUCAAUUAAAUUUGCACACGAAAGUGUAUAUAUGACAUGGCAAUAACAAUAUAUUGACGUACAAGAAUGAAAGCCAUUAUUGAUUCUACUUGGAUAAAAUAAAAACCCUUAAAAAUCCUAUUGCAAAAAAGUAUAUGUUUAGGUGUGUAUCUAAAAUUCAGUUUCGCAAACACAUUUUUAUAGUCUACCUGAUCUUACCUUUUUACAUAUAACAUUAUUCUUUAUUUUUUUUUGUCAAACUCAACAAAAGAAAAUUGUUUUACCUGAAUCGGAAAAAAAAAUCGCGCGUUUUACAAAAAAAUU